GUUGAUGAAGGCGUUCUGGAGCAGGACCAGAAAGAACACGACCAAGCAGCCCUGAGAUCUUAGGCAGCGUCUCCCUCGGACCAAAGAACUACAGACUCUUCACAACCUGCUCAAACUCUUGGUACAGGACCUCACCACACGGGUCAAGAAGGUUUCCAUCUCAUUUCUACUCUGAAGCUCACCUUCUCCUGCUCAAACUGCUGACAAAUGUUUCUGCUGCUCUCAAGUCUGGUCUCCAGAACUUCCUAAAAACUCUCAGUCUCUUCUGCUGCAGGUUGCUUUGUAGAACUGUUGCAGAAAACCUCACUAAACCACAUGGAGGGGCCUCAAGAUAGUCAUCCAAAUGAAACCGUACAAAAACCAAACUAGCACAACCCAAACGCUAAAGUCUCCUGCAGCCUACCAGAGAACCUCUGAGAACAGAGAAUCAGGACAGGAACUCUUACCUUCUGGACAACCAACGUUGGUUCACAAACAAGAAUUCAGAAUGUGUCUGACCAAAAACCUCUAAAGACUCACUACAGCCAAGAUAAAGACACAACUCAGCUGUACCAAAUCCACUAAUCACUGCACACAUUAACACCAUGUGCUAACUGUGGCUAAAGAACCACAUUUACCAAGACAACUAUCCAGUACAAAGCCCUAAAACACACCAAGAAACACAUUAAAGACGAUUUUACUGCUGGAAGCUGCAAGCCAACGCCUAAAGAACACACUAAAGCAAUGGAGCCAAACCCGGUUCUGUGGUGAAGAGAAGCAGAGGAAAUGUUUGUCUGCAGCUAAAUAAAGCAGGAAGACACUGAGCUGCUCAGGUGUUCCUGAUAACACCAAGCAGCCACCUGGACAGCCAAUAGGAACACAGCUUACUGGAAGUCCAGAGGGCGGGGUUAGUGAAGGAAAUUUAGUUUAAAGUUGAAGCAGAAAGUUAAUAAAGAAAGUUGAAAACCACCUUCUGAUACCUGAAAUCUCUGAGUUUUCACACAAAGAACACCUGAACAUGUCAAACUGGUUCCAUAGUAGAACUAUCAUUGUAAAAACAUCAUAGUAUGGUGUGUUGCUCAAAAAACAUUAGGACCCGGCUGUCAGGGGACAAACAUGUAAGAAACAUGAGAACAGAGAGAACCCAACCAGUAGGUCACAGUUUAUCAUCCCCCAGUCAUCUCC
ensembl:lncRNA